UAUAAAAGUUAACAUUCUAAACUGAUGACGUCAUCAUUUUUUUUUUUUUGCUUUCUUUUUUCACAGGCUGAUGGUUCUCUGGAUUACUAAAAUGGGAAUGACAACCAUUUAUUUUUCGAGGUACAAAAACAAAGAACGACACAAACACCGGAACCUGAUUUAGUUUGAGAGCCAGCUGACUCAAAUUGAAGUGUUGAAAGUUGAAUGGAUUGAGAGUGUAACUUCCAGCAGCUGCUGCAGAAUCUACGAAUCCAAUUACUACUCGGAAACGUAGUGAGGAGCUUCGAUACUGGUAGACCAAUUUCCUCUAGUGGUAGGUGGUAAUCUGCGUAGGAGUGGUUUCUUCUCACCUUCAACAAUUGAUUCGCCACAAAUACUCGAAUACAGAGUCUCAAUCCAAGUAUACUUGGAGAAGAUGUCAAUUACCACAAGCAGGAAAUUCACACCUGAGUUUUGGCUUUUUAUAUUGGAUACAUCAAUCAAAUCCAUAUCGAACUGAUCAUGUAUUCCUGACACAAUGACUCGAGUUCUGGUGAAGCGUCGUCUUAGUUCCUUUCUCAGACUAUAACUGUCUUGAUUGUGAAGCCAUUUUCGAAUUUUGUGUUUUCCAAUACCCGAUAUACCUUUGGAUUUUAAAACUCUGUAAAGUUUGUCUGGACCUAAAUAUGCACCAACUUUAGAUAAAUCAUAAUAUGAUUUUCUUAAUAAAUCAUGUACUGUUUU